UUGUGAAGAUUUUAGUAAUUUAGCAUGACUUAAUGGUGCUAGUACCCAAUAUAUGUGCAUUGUAUUGUCAAAAACAGCCCAUAUUUAUAUAGCAGAAGCAUUCUACUGUCCAAUAAAUAACUAAAAGUUUACGUUUUAACAAUUUUGCUAAAACUGCUAUAUUUUGGGCAAAAAGUGGACCUACUCCUUUCAUGAAUGAAUAUUUAAAGCAGCAAAAUCUAUUAAACGAGAUUUAAAUAUGUAAAAAAUGUAUUUAUCUAUUUUUGUGUAACACACACUACAAAUAUUCUCACUAUACAUUAAAAUAAAUAUUCUUUUAAUCUUUAAACUUCAGAUUACC
rnacentral:lncRNA from 1 species